rnacentral:rRNA from 1 species
AUGACAACACUAACAAAUUUUGCACCUACACUAAACACUUCACAAGUUCUUCAUGAUCCGAACAAAAGGACAAGACCAGUUUCACACUUCAAUAGAAAAAUACAACUUCAUUCCUUGCUAAAAGUUAGUCAACACUUUCUUCAUCUCCUCGUUAUGUGCAUUGCCAUCUUCGUGAAUACAUUUGCCUUUCUAUGUGGACUUAUUAUCCAACAUGCACACUUGCUCCGUCUCUACCUCCACAUGAAGAAACUUGGACGUUGCCUGCUCUAUCAUCUCAUCUCUAGCAACCUCUAUACCAGCACACAAUAG